GACGAACGCUGGCGGCGUGCUUAACACAUGCAAGUCGAACGGAAAGGCCCUGCUUUUGUGGGGUUCUCGAGUGGCGAACGGGUGAGUAACACGGGAGUAACCUUCCCUUGACUUUGGGAUAACUUCAGGCAACUGGUGCUAAUACCGGAUAGGUGCUCCUGCUGCAUGGUGGGGGUCGGAAAGCUUCGGCGGUUGGGGAUGGACUCGCGGGUUAUCAGCUUGUUGGUGGGGUAGUGGCUUACCAAGGCUUCGGCGGGUAGCCGGCAUGGGAGGGUGACCGGCGACAUUGGGCCUGAGAUAGGGCGCAGAGUCCUACGGGAGGCAGCAGGGGGGAAUAUUGCACAAUGGGGGGAAGCGUGAUGCAGCAGCGCCGCGUGCGGGAUGACGGCCUUCGGGUGGUAAACCGCUUUCGCCUGUGACGAAGCGUGAGUGACGGUAAUGGGUAAAGAAGCACCGGCUAACUACGUG
rnacentral:rRNA from 1 species